CACGCAGUGGAUUCACUGUCACCACUCCCCCUUGCGGGCGUGCAAGUUGUCAAAAGUGAAUGAGGUCAAGCCAAAGUCCAGCUCCUCCAUGGAUUCAGCUUUCUACAAGAAACAUUUUAACGAAGUUUAACUUUCUCUUGGAUGAUUUUUCAGCCACUGUGGCUGGAUCCUGCAAUAUGUUUCUAUUAUGCCUGACUUCACUCAAUACAGUGAAAAUAAUCAAUACUGAUAGAUGUAAUUGUUCACUGUCAUUGGUAAGUAGUAUUUUAUUUGUGACCAUAAAUAAUUUUUCCAUUGUAUUGCUGAUGGGUGUUUAUGAGAUUCUGGGUAUGGAUGAUGAGAAAGACUACUAUGAAUAUUCAAGAAUAUGUAUUUUGAUGGACUUAAAAUAUAUAAAUGAUUAUAUAUUUGUGUAUUCUAGCUACCCUUUAUCUGUCCCAUUUUUUUUUUUUUUUGCAUACUAAACAUUUGUGCAAACACCAUGAGUAUUUUCCAAAUAUUUCAGGACGGGAGCCUGAGACUUUAAGGGUAUUAAGUCUUUGAUGAUCACACUUCUAAUAAGUAAUGGGAAUCCACUAACUUCAGAUAUAGAAUUCCAGUAGAGAGCAGCAGGUGGUCAUAUACAUUUGUAUACAUUUAUAUUUAUAUAUAAUUCAUGUAAGUCAUAUGCAUUUAUAUUUAUAUAUAAUUCAACAGUAACUAAUGUCUCCUUGGACUGCAGAAUUUACUAUAUUUGUGUUUAUUCAUGAAGAGGGACUUGCUGUGAACAUUUCAUAUAUAUUUUUCAUGCUUUAUUUCCAUCAUUGCUAUUAGUUUUGUUCAAUUUAUUUUUUGUAGUGAAAUAUUUUAAUGCUGUUCUCAUUAUCUUGUGUGUAUAUUCUGUAACUGUAAGAGUCUUUAUAGGGACCAUGGAGAUUACUGUUAACAUCUUAAAGAUUUAAAAUUCUAAUUUGAAUCUGUACAAAAUUGCUACUCCUUUAUAGUUCUUUUUCCAUCUCUUUUGGUUUUUGGUGUCAUAGAACUACAUAUUUGCAAAAGAUCUAACAUAACAUAAAUCUUUUAAAUGCAUAAAGCAAAACAUAAGUGUUGUAAAUGCAUUAGUUGCUAAAGUCACAUAAAAGACAAAAUGUGCAUUUUCCCAUCAGUUUACCUCUGUCCAUAUCUUUAUUUCUUCAGAUGACUUAGAGUUACUGUGUAGUAUGCCUGUAUUUCACUGCACAGGUCUCUUGGAGCAUUUUCUACAGGGCACAUCUAGGGGUAGUGAACUCCCUCCACUUUUGUUUAUUUAGAAAUAGCUUUAAUUUCUCACUCACUUUCAAAGGCUAGUUUGCCAUAGGUAAGAUGUUCGGUUAACACUUAUUUUUCUUCCACUGCUUUGACUGUAUCUACCCACUACCUCCAGACCCCCUGAGUUUCUGAUAAGAAAUUUACUCAGAAUAUUCUCAAUGACCUCUUUUUUUUUUUUUUUUUACUUUUUUUUUUUUAUCUUAUUAUCGGUACUGGGGAUCAAACUCAUGACCGCCUGCUUGCAAGACAGGUGCUUAUACCACGGAGCUAAAUCCCCAGUCCCUUCUCAAUGACCUCUUGUGUGUAAUUGAAACUUUGAAAAUUCUUCUAUCUUUUGACAGUUGACUUAUGAUGUGUCUCAGAAUGAUUCUCUUUGAGUUCUUGUUACAGUGGACCCUUGACUCAUGAAUUAAAUUCAUUUGCAAGGGCUGUUUGUAAAUCAAGUUUAUUGUAAGUCAAGACUAUUUUUCCGGUAAGAACUAAUGGAAAUACCUGUAAUGCAUUCCAAACCUCCCAAAGCACCCCUUAAUUAAGGAUUAAUUAAGAAGAAAGGAUUCUGUAAUUUACCAGAAACACCAAUGAUUUUCCUAAUGUAUUCACCAAAAUAUUAUAAAAUGUAAGUAAUUUACUAGAAAUAAUAGUAUCAUACUGUAUUCACCAUCCAAAUAGACAUCUUUGGGUUGCAGAAGGAAGGAUGAAAUGGAAAGGGGUUAUUGUUUGAAAGGAGAGUCCCCUUCCUUAAGAACAUUAGGAAUCUGGCUCUCUGCUGUCCUUUUACUCCUUGGGAGAGUCUGUAGCCCCCUCAGACGUGCUUCUGGCUCACUAGGUCUCCAUCUUUUUAGAACUAAAAAUUGGUCUAAGAUGAUCUGUUUCUGUCUUUUCUGUAACACUGUUCUGUAGUUUGAUAUGACAUGUCAUUAAGCAAAUGAAUGCAAUGAUUCGCUUUUUCUCUGAGUGGGUGGGUCUCCUCUACAAAUGCUUACAGCUCUGUUCAUUCUUUUCAAGAUUCCCUUUAUUUCGGCAGAACUUUGCUGCACUGAUUGUUGAUAUUCCCCUCCUCUUCAGAAAUCUCCUCAACUGCCAUUCUCUAUUGCUCAGCCAAAAGUUACUAAAGUUCUUCUGUGGACAGUUCCUCUGAGUGUUCCUCCAUCAGUUCCCAACAUUACCACUGUCUCCCUGCAAGCCUAUGGACUCUGCUCUAAUGACAGUGUCAUCAGCCACAGGGUCAGUCGAAGGCUCAGGUUCCUCUACACAGCCUUUGAAGUUUCUUUCUUGUAUAAUUUUAGGCCACACUUUCUUCUGGACAAUUCUCAGUGUCUUUAGAGAGACAUUGGCCCAGGAUUUCUUAGUUAACCCUACCCAGGAAAUGAUGUUGUACUUCCAGAACUGAUUAAGGAUUAAAUCUGUAUCUGAGAUGACUUGGAAGUACUUAAGUAACAGUUCCUUGAUUUAUAGCUUCUUAAAGUUAGCUUCAAUCUGCUGGUCUUUCAGGAAAUUAUUAUUCUCCAAUAAAAUAGCAGGCACUUUUUUUUUUUUAUUGGGAGUGGAACUCAUGACCUUGUGCUUGCCAGGCAAAGAAGCAGGCACUUUUAAUGUUGCUUUCCCUCAGAUCCAAAGCCUUCUUUGUUGUGUGUUGUGUGAUAGUAAAACAAAUGCUUUGAAUGUUUUUUCCAGAGUCUUCACACCCAAAGUGAUAAGGUGUGCAUUUUAUGUAGAUCUUAAGACUUUCAUUUAACUGUUAUGUUUAAAAACUAAGUAGUUAUUAAAAAGAAAAUAAUAUAUAAAUGUGUGCCAAUUAUGGCAGAUAUUUCCAGCCAAAGUCAGCAUCAGAGACGCCACAAAUCAAAACAAAUUAAAGUUUUCUGGGAUGGUCCCCUCAUCAUCUAGGCAUUUCAGUCUGGAGUUUUUUCCACAUAUCCAGCUGGGCAUGAGCUCUACCUCCCCACCAAAGGCAGGAAAAUACACCAAAGGUUACAGGGUUACCUUGGCAAAAGGGAAAGAAUAAGGGGGCAAAAUAUUGUGCCCUGUCUUUGGGUAACCAAUGAUUUAUGGCAUUUUCUUCGUAUGGUCAUCCUAACCCUCAAGGAACAGGAAGAUGGUAUCAGUACUUUCCACAGGAAUGAAGCUCUUCUGAUCCUUCAUAAGUGCUGUUCGGUGCUUCUACAAUAUCUUUGAUGCCAUCUUUGCUAUCUUGACUCUAUCUUCCUGGAGCUGCUGAAGAGUUUGAUGUUCCAUACCAAGGAUUGGAACAAAAACAAGUUCAAAACCCAGCAGGGUAGAUAUUAAAUCUUUUGUUGCAUAUCCAGCUUUUGAAACAAUCUGUGGCAUACUGUGAGCUCCAAAGGGCUUGUGUUAUUCCAUUCCCAUGGUGUCUGUCUUGGGCUUGCUUCUGCUCAGUUCUUGCAGCUUAUCUUAGGCGAGCCACACUCCUCUUUUCCAAA